rnacentral:lncRNA from 1 species
CCCCUGCUCACGGGUUGUGGGAGCUCCUGUGUGGGCCUCCGUAUAUUUUUGUUACACUUUAUCCCACCUGUGCCUGUCAGUUCCUUUCCACUUGCCUCCUCCCGUGACAGUCUGGCUCAUGUUUCUUCAUAAAGCUCUAAGCCAGUUAUUAAUAACAGCCCAGCGAGUCUCCGGAUCCACCUAAGAGCAUGUGGUGUUUUUCACAAAAGAGAAGAGAGAUCAUCUCCUUGACUUGGGACUUUGCUUGCGGAGCCCUGAACAGAGGACCUGCUCCGUCCUUGGGAGCUCAGCUGAAACCAGACGAUCCAGUCGUUCUCCAGGACCAGCGUAGCUUCCUGCUAAGGGGACCGAGGUUGCUAAGAGUCCACCUGUGCUGA